rnacentral:rRNA from 1 species
AUGCAUGUCUAAGUAUAAGCAACUAUACGGUGAAACUGCGAAUGGCUCAUUAAAUCAGUUAUCGUUUAUUUGAUAGUACCUUACUACAUGGAUAACCGUGGUAAUUCUAGAGCUAAUACAUGCUAAAAACCCCGACUUCGGGAGGGGUGUAUUUAUUAGAUAAAAAACCAAUGCCCUUCGGGGCUCCUUGGUGAAUCAUAAUAACUUAACGAAUCGCAUGGCCUUGCGCCGGCGAUGGUUCAUUCAAAUUUCUGCCCUAUCAACUUUCGAUGGUAGGAUAGUGGCCUACCAUGGUAUCAACGGGUAACGGGGUAUUAGGGUACGAUACCGGAGAGGGAGCCUGAGAAACGGCUACCACAUCCAAGGAAGGCAGCAGGCGCGCAAAUUACCCAAUCCCGACACGGGGAGGUAGUGACAAUAAAUACUGAUACAGGGCUCUUUUGGGUCUUGUAAUUGGAAUGAGUACAAUUUAAAUCCCUUAACGAGGAACAAUUGGAGGGCAAGUCUGGUGCCAGCAGCCGCGGUAAUUCCAGCUCCAAUAGCGUAUAUUAAAGUUGUUGCAGUUAAAAAGCUCGUAGUUGAACUUGGGCCUGGCUGGCCGGUCCGCCUCACCGCGUGUACUGGUCCGGCCGGGCCUUUCCUUCUGGGGAACCGCAUGCCCUUCACUGGGCGUGUCGGGGAACCAGGACUUUUACUUUGAAAAAAUUAGAGUGUUCAAAGCAGGCCUUUGCUCGAAUACAUUAGCAUGGAAUAAUAGAAUAGGACGUGCGGUUCUAUUUUGUUGGUUUCUAGGACCGCCGUAAUGAUUAAUAGGGAUAGUCGGGGGCAUCAGUAUUCAAUUGUCAGAGGUGAAAUUCUUGGAUUUAUUGAAGACUAACUACUGCGAAAGCAUUUGCCAAGGAUGUUUUCAUUAAUCAGUGAACGAAAGUUAGGGGAUCGAAGACGAUCAGAUACCGUCGUAGUCUUAACCAUAAACUAUGCCGACUAGGGAUCGGUGGAUGUUACUAUUUUGACUCCAUCGGCACCUUACGAGAAAUCAAAGUUUUUGGGUUCUGGGGGGAGUAUGGUCGCAAGGC